UGAGAGCGGUGAUCCUAGGACCGACCAUACACUAACCUCGUGAGAAUCAAGAACAGGAAAACACGCUCUUCCUCUUUGAAAAAAGGAGAGAGAGUGAUCAUGAGCAGAGAAAAGGCAGAGAGAGGGGGACAGAGGAUCCGAAGCAGGCUCUGUGCUGUCAGCAGAGAGCCAGAUGCGGACUUGAACUCAUGAACCAUGAGACCAUGACCUGAGCUGAAGUUGAACACUUACCUGACUGAACCACCCAGGCACCUUUGAGAAAAGAGAAAAGAAGAUGCAACCUCAUUAUGGUGGUAACUUUGCAGGCAGAGAAUAUAUCAGCAAAGGCAAGCUUAAGCCUGGCUGUAAGACAAGGCAACUGUGUCUAGUUUCCCUGGAGUGUGAAAGUCACAGACUGUAGCGGACUCUAACAUCUGGAAAACUCAGCCAAGCACCAAAGCUAAGUAUGUGCCAAGUUCUGACCCAGUUAAAAGACUAAACCUGAGCUGGCUGUAUGUAAGAAGUGUUCUACUGAAGCUCAAGGAUAAUGUCAAGAUCAUAACAAUUAGUGAUUAGUGAGUAAAGAAGCUAAGAAAUUUAGGUGUUUGUUUCUUUAAAAGUACUUAAUAUUUUCACUGUAAUGUUGUAAUCAAGAGUUUCACUUUUCUGGGGAAAAAAACCCACAGAGAAUAAUUUAGUUGGAAAAUGUGCUAAUCUCUUAAUAAAUCACAUCUCUAAGACUGAAGAGACGACUGAGCCCUAACCAGGGGCGGGGAGGGGCUCUACUGGCUGAUAAUGUUCCCAAGAAACCCCAACUGCUAACCAAAGUCUAAGUGACAACAUAUCUUAGACACUGAACAAAUGCUUGCAUUUCUCCCAAUAACCAAAAUCCUUUUGUCUUUAAAAUUAAUAAAGUACAGUGCUUGCCAGCAAAGGGAAUAAUGAUGUAAAAGGUUGAAACAUUCAAACUCACAGGUCUCUACACAGCAAAGAGGAAAUAUACUAAUGAAAUUUUUGUACAUAAAUAUUGUAGUCAUGAGUCUUACUGGAAUACUAAUUUCCAAAAAAUCUUUUACCUUUUAAAACAAAUGCCAAAGUUCAGGCUGUAAAAGGCCAUUUCCAAAAAUCUGAGGGGCAGAAUUUGGCCCAUUAACAAAUGUAACUAUGAGAAAAGCAAUAACUAUUAAUAUUUCCCACUAAAUGCUAUACUCUGUUAUUCAGAAUUAGACUGUACCACUCUUGAUCCAUUUUAUUUUUGAGGAGUUUGGUAAUGUAGCACCUAAAGGAACUCAUGACUUUUCAACAUAGAGUAACACACAUACUUUCUU